AAGUUGAAAACCUCUGCUGAAGCUAUUUCUCCCGGAUUUCCCACUCCCAGUAUUAACCCAGGGGAAGGACCCAUCUGGCUGUUAUAACAGGAAGCCUAAUCCAGUCCUAUGCACCAGACUUGAAUGAAGCACAGAAGAGAUUGCAUCCUCUACAGAGCGAUUCCGCCGAUAACAAACUGAAGUGGACCAAACAAAGGAGGGAGUCUGGAAACAGUGUAAUCCUUCAUCAACCUCUCAGUACAUUUCAUCACAAUGGGAGGUUUUCCUUCAGAGCUGAUCUCUGUCGCAUGAAGAAUGGCAAGUAUUUUUCACCAAAUGAUGGCCAAAAGACAAAGGGAAGAGAGCCAUUUGGUCAGAAGGAGAAGACUGCAAAUAAAAGUAUUCCUGGAUAGAGAUACCUGGAUGUCUAUUUGAGCACAUUGACCUGGUCUUUAUAGUAUCUGAGUGCAGGUUGGUAAUUUGGAACUGGUUCAGUCAUGUAAGCUGCUUCCCGCAACAAUGGUAGAACCAGUCAUUAGUUUACUUCCUACAUCACAUUAAGCUCCGUUUUAAUCUUGAAUAAACUAUGAUUGGCUAGGUUUCCACAACAUGCUGAGCUGUAAACUAUGGUUUACAAGCUAUGGGCUGGGUUUAUGCACCACGUUCAGCUUAAAGCAAACCACAUUGCUUAAGGCAGUGUUGAAAACUGUCACUUUCUUAGACUUUGGUGAAACUGACAUUUGCUGAAAGACAUUUUCUCUCUCAAUAGUGUUUGCUGUUUCUUUAUAACCUAUGAAAUAAUACCAGUCACCUCCAAUUGCUAACCCAGUUUGGAAUAAACCUAAGUGAUUGAUCACCUUGACCCUUCAAAGUCUGUCAUGGAUGCUGGAGAAAAGAGAGGGAGAGACAGAAACAGAAUAUAUCCAAGAUGAAGAAUGAUUUCUCUGCAAUUUGUUUCAGUGAUGAUGUUAAAUAUUUGCCACUCCCUGACUAUCUUCUAUUCCUGAGUAAAUGUAUAUAAUAACAUUUUUCUGUAUACAUGUUCAUUAUUUACUAACUUGCUUCCACAAAUUCAGUUAACUUGAUGUCUUUGUCUGAUUCCUUUUAGGGAGGGGUGGGUCUAUUAAUAUAGAGAUUCUAU